rnacentral:piRNA from 1 species
GCAGUGAUUCGUCCCACCUUCCAGUGC